rnacentral:rRNA from 1 species
GGCUCAGGAUAAACGCUGGCGGCGUGCCUAAUACAUGCAAGUCGCACGAGGAGUUCUUGUAGCAAUACGGGAACUUCCUAGUGGCGAAUGGGUGAGUAACGCGUUGGUGACCUGCCCCAAAGUGAGGAAUAACUCCGGGAAACUGGAGCUAAUACCUCAUGUGGUUACCAGGGUUAGAGGCCUGGUAUCUGAAGGAGCAAUCCGCUUUGGGAGGGACCUGCGUCCCAUCAGCUAGUUGGUAGGGUAACGGCCUACCAAGGCUACGACGGGUAGGGGGCCUGAGAGGGUGGCCCCCCACACUGGAACUGAAACACGGUCCAGACACCUACGGGUGGCAGCAGUAGGGAAUAUUGCACAAUGGGCGAAAGCCUGAUGCAGCAACGCCGCGUGAACGAUGAAGACCUUCGGGUUGUAAAGUUCUUUUCUGAAGGACGAGGAAGGACGGUACUUCAGGAAUAAGGAUCGGCUAACUACGUGCCAGCAGCCGCGGUAAUACGUAGGAUCCGAGCGUUAUCCGAAUUUACUGGGCGUAAAGCGUGUGCAGGCGGUUUGAUAAGUUGGAUGUGAAAGCUCCCGGCUCAACUGGGAGAGGCCGUUCAAAACUAUCAGACUAGAGGACGGUAGAGGAAGGUAGAAUUCCCGGUGUAGUAGUGAAAUGCGUAGAUAUCGGGAGGAAUACCAGUGGCGAAGGCGGCCUUCUGGACCGUUCCUGACGCUCAGACACGAAAGCUAGGGGAGCGAACGGGAUUAGAAACCCCGGUAGUCCUAGCUGUAAACGAUGCAAACUUGGUGUUGGCGGGGUAAAAUCCGCCGGUGCCGAAGCUAACGCGAUAAGUUUGCCGCCUGGG